rnacentral:lncRNA from 1 species
AAUCAAAGUUUAUGGGUUUAUAGUCAUAUGUUAAACUCCCCGGAAAGCAAUUAGCUUGAAUUUUCUUAUAGAGAGGACAUAAACAAUACUAAAUCGUCACGAAAUAGCUAUUCCAGGUUUCAGAAUAAUCAGAAUUGAGAGUUGGUCUUGUAGCCUGAGAGAGUCGCCUCUUAGAUCAUAACUAGUUGAUGGUGAUGCUUGGCUGGGCAUCAUCCUUGACUUGAGCCCAACUUAUUAUCGAGCCUUUUCUGAUGCUUAAGAGUUACGUAAGACCUUUUUGUCAUUCUUCAGUGCCAAGUCUAGAAUAAUUUCAAAACUAAUAAUUUAAGAAACAACCCAAUGACUUUUUGUUAUUCUUCAUUCCCUUCAUGUUUUUUGCUAUUUAACCAGUUAUAUUAAGAGUGUUCCAAAAAAAAAAAAAAAACCAGUUAUAUUAAGAUGAGGCUCGGUUCACUUUUAUAUCGAGUCCAAUUUAGCCCAAUAAUAUGUCAAGACGGGCCCGAUGAUUGUCGUAUUGUAUUAUAUAUCAAACAUCAUUCCCUUAAUACUCUCACUCAAGGUACCUACUACCUAAUAUUAAUACUUAGAUAGAGAGUCCAUUGUGACCCUUAGAGACGUAUCAAUUAUACAUAUGUAAUGAUUUCAUCGAAAUAGAACGAUUGAUAUCAUAACAAAGUAACCAUUGUUCAAAAACCUCGUGAAUAUUCACCAUAAUAUACAUUUACUAAUCAAACAUUUUAAAAAAAAAAUGUAUCGACAUAAAUUCGUUUUCUUAAAUACGUGUGUCAAGAAAGGUUGAUAGUUUGGCAAGAUAGGAUCUCUAUUGCUAUACCCUAC